rnacentral:rRNA from 1 species
AACGAACGCUGGCGGCAUGCCUAACACAUGCAAGUCGAACGAGCCCUUCGGGUCUAGUGGCGCACGGGUGCGUAACGCGUGGGAACCUUCCCUUAGGUUCGGAAUAACUCCCCGAAAGGGGUGCUAAUACCGGAUAAUGUCUUCGAACCAAAGAUUUAUCGCCUUUGGAUGGUCCCGCGUUGGAUUAGCUAGUUGUUAGGGUAAAAGCCUACCAAGGCGCCGAUCCAUAGCUGGUCUGAGAGGAUGAUCAGCCACACUGGGACUGAGACACGGCCCAGACUCCUACGGGAGGCAGCAGUGGGGAAUAUUGGACAAUGGGCGAAAGCCUGAUCCAGCAAUGCCGCGUGAGUGAUGAAGGCCGUAGGGUUGUAAAGCUCUUUUAACCGGGAUGAUAAUGACAGUACCGGGAGAAUAAGCUACGGCUAACUCCGUG